UCCUCGUUAGUAUAGUGGUGAGUAUCCCCGCCUGUCACGCGGGAGACCGGGGUUCGAUUUCCCGACGGGGAG
rfam:Ciona savignyi cont_23913, whole genome shotgun sequence.